GGUUCCACCGCCAUGAGUGGAUGAGGACAACGUCCCCGAUGAUGGACGGCUCCCUUCGGUGAGACCUUCGAGUCACUUCCGUUUCAUUUGAGGACUACGGCGGAGAAAACCAAUGGGCUUUUCAGAUUUUUUUAUUUUUUUAUUUUUUGUUGAGUUUUGGGAAGUAUUUACCCUCGAUUCGGGCCUAGGGAACCGAAACGGCUAAAAAAAGGGUCGUUCGUGGAUUCUGGCCCCGGGAAUGGCAUAACCGUAGCCAGCGACCAAUGGCUGUCGUGGCGGAGACUCGUCGGGACCAAGGGCGGAUUGGGGGAGGGCCGAGGGAAAAAAAAGGGGCUGAUAGUGUUUUUUAUUUUUUUGAAAACGGAUGAAAAUGAUUUUUUUUCCUUAACUUUUUUACUUAUAUAAUCCUAUAAAAUGGCGUCGUUUUGGGCUUAAGUUUUAGACUCCAAAACGACGUCGUUUUGAAGCGUGACCUGAAAACUAACCCCAUGUGCCCUAGGAUCCACUUGUUUUCGCGGCAAGGGUCUAUUUCGACC
rnacentral:lncRNA from 1 species